ACACAUGCAAGUCGAACGAGCGAGAGAGAGCUUGCUUUCUCGAGCGAGUGGCGAACGGGUGAGUAACGCGUGAGGAACCUGCCUCAAAGAGGGGGACAACAGUUGGAAACGACUGCUAAUGCCGCAUAAGCCCACGACCCGGCAUCGGGUUGAGGGAAAAGGAGCAAUCCGCUUUGAGAUGGCCUCGCGUCCGAUUAGCUAGUUGGUGAGGUAACGGCCCACCAAGGCAACGAUCGGUAGCCGGACUGAGAGGUUGAACGGCCACAUUGGGACUGAGACACGGCCCAGACUCCUACGGGAGGCAGCAGUGGGGAAUAUUGCACAAUGGGGGAAACCCUGAUGCAGCGACGCCGCGUGGAGGAAGAAGGUCUUCGGAUUGUAAACUCCUGUUGUUGAGGAAGAUAAUGACGGUACUCAACAAGGAAGUGACGGCUAACUACGUGCCAGCAGCCGCGGUAAAACGUAGGUCACAAGCGUUGUCCGGAAUUACUGGGUGUAAAGGGAGCGCAGGCGGGAAGACAAGUUGGAAGUGAAAUCCAUGGGCUCAACCCAUGAACUGCUUUCAAAACUGUUUUUCUUGAGUAGUGCAGAGGUAGGCGGAAUUCCCGGUGUAGCGGUGGAAUGCGUAGACAUCGGGAGGAACACCAGUGGCGAAGGCGGCCUACUGGGCACCAACUGACGCUGAGGCUCGAAAGUGUGGGUAGCAAAC
rnacentral:rRNA from 1 species